CCUACGGGUGACAGCAGUGGGGGAUAUUGCACAAUGGGGGAAACCCUGAUGCAGCGACGCCGCGUGUGGGAAGACGGUCCUCUGGAUUGUAAACCACUGUCCCCAGGGACGAAGAUGACGGUACCUGAAGAAAAAGCAUCGGCUAACUCCGUGCCAGCAGCCGCGGUAAUACGGAGGAUGCGAGCGUUAUCCGGAUUUAUUGGGUUUAAAGGGUGCGUAGGCGGAAUGCCAAGUCAGCGGUAAAAUCGCGGGGCUCAACCUCGCUCCGCCGUUGAAACUGGCGUUCUUGAGUGGGCGAGAAGUAUGCGGAAUGCGUGGUGUAGCGGUGAAAUGCAUAGAUAUCACGCAGAACUCCGAUUGCGAAGGCAGCAUACCGGCGCCCAACUGACGCUGAAGCACGAAAGCGUGGGUAUCGAACAGGAUUAGAUACCCCAGUAGUC
rnacentral:rRNA from 1 species